CUUCCCGCCGCCGCCCCGCCCGCUCUUCCCGGCCGUUCUGGCCUCCGCUUUUGGGGAAAGGGAAGGCCCCCAGCGCGAAGAGUCUGGCAGCGCCGGACUGGGACCCCCGAGGGACCUCUUCCUCCCCGCCACCCACCUCAGAAUUCCUUCCUCCCCGGCCCCUAGUGGGAGCUUAGGCCGGGAGUGACCCCCGCCCCGAGAGGGAGGAGAAGCGGUGACUCCUGGAACAGCCCGCGGGCGGGGAGGGCUGCGGGAGGGCAGUGGCAGAGCCAUUGAAAACACACCACUCUAUUCAGAACCCCUCCAGAAACACUGAGUACGCAUGGAUACAAAGGAGAAAACCGAAGACACCUGGGCCUACUUGAGAGCGGAGGGUGGGAGGAGCGUGAGGAUCGAAAAACUACCUAUGGCGUACUAUGCUUAUUACCUGGGUGACAAAAUAAUCUUUACACCAAACCCCCAUGACAUGCAAUUAAUUUAUCCAUGCACAUGUACCCCCUGAACCAAAAAUAAAAGUUGGAAAGUAAAGGAAAAAAAAAUCCCCCUCCAGUGCUUCCCAUCUCACUCUGAAUAAAAUCUAUAUGAUCUC
rnacentral:antisense_RNA from 1 species